rnacentral:sRNA from 1 species
CAAAGAGGAACUCAGUCUUAGAACACCAUGUCCUGUGGUAACGACUGAGUAACCAACCUUAGG